GAUGAACGCUGGCGGCGUGCCUAAUACAUGCAAGUCGAGCGAACGGACGAGAAGCUUGCUUCUCUGAUGUUAGCGGCGGACGGGUGAGUAACACGUGGAUAACCUACCUAUAAGACUGGGAUAACUUCGGGAAACCGGAGCUAAUACCGGAUGAUAUUUUGGACCGCAUGGUUCAAAAGUGAAAGACGGUCUUGCUGUCACUUAUAGAUGGAUCCGCGCUGCAUUAGCUAGUUGGUAAGGUAACGGCUUACCAAGGCAACGAUGCAUAGCCGACCUGAGAGGGUGAUCGGCCACACUGGAACUGAGACACGGUCCAGACUCCUACGGGAGGCAGCAGUAGGGAAUCUUCCGCAAUGGGCGAAAGCCUGACGGAGCAACGCCGCGUGAGUGAUGAAGGUCUUCGGAUCGUAAAACUCUGUUAUUAGGGAAGAACAUAUGUGUAAGUAACUGUGCACAUCUUGACGGUACCUAAGCAGAAAACCACGGCUAACUACGU
rnacentral:rRNA from 1 species